AGAGUUUGAUCCUGGCUCAGGACGAACGCUGGCGGCGUGCCUAAUACAUGCAAGUAGAACGCUGAAGAGAGGAGCUUGCUCUUCUUGGAUGAGUUGCGAACGGGUGAGUAACGCGUAGGUAACCUGCCUUGUAGCGGGGGAUAACUAUUGGAAACGAUAGCUAAUACCGCAUAACAAUGGAUGACACAUGUCAUUUAUUUGAAAGGGGCAAUUGCUCCACUACAAGAUGGACCUGCGUUGUAUUAGCUAGUAGGUGAGGUAACGGCUCACCUAGGCGACGAUACAUAGCCGACCUGAGAGGGUGAUCGGCCACACUGGGACUGAGACACGGCCCAGACUCCUACGGGAGGCAGCAGUAGGGAAUCUUCGGCAAUGGGGGCAACCCUGACCGAGCAACGCCGCGUGAGUGAAGAAGGUUUUCGGAUCGUAAAGCUCUGUUGUAAGUCAAGAACGAGUGUGAGAGUGGAAAGUUCACACUGUGACGGUAGCUUACCAGAAAGGGACGGCUAACUACGUGCCAGCAGCCGCGGUAAUACGUAGGUCCCGAGCGUUGUCCGGAUUUAUUGGGCGUAAAGCGAGCGCAGGCGGUUUAAUAAGUCUGAAGUUAAAGGCAGUGGCUUAACCAUUGUUCGCUUUGGAAACUGUUAGACUUGAGUGCAGAAGGGGAGAGUGGAAUUCCAUGUGUAGCGGUGAAAUGCGUAGAUAUAUGGAGGAACACCGGUGGCGAAAGCGGCUCUCUGGUCUGUAACUGACGCUGAGGCUCGAAAGCGUGGGGAGCGAACAGGAUUAGAUACCCUGGUAGUCCACGCCGUAAACGAUGAGUGCUAGGUGUUGGAUCCUUUCCGGGAUUCAGUGCCGCAGCUAACGCAUUAAGCACUCCGCCUGGGGAGUACGACCGCAAGGUUGAAACUCAAAGGAAUUGACGGGGGCCCGCACAAGCGGUGGAGCAUGUGGUUUAAUUCGAAGCAACGCGAAGAACCUUACCAGGUCUUGACAUCCCGAUGCUAUUUCUAGAGAUAGAAAGUUACUUCGGUACAUCGGUGACAGGUGGUGCAUGGUUGUCGUCAGCUCGUGUCGUGAGAUGUUGGGUUAAGUCCCGCAACGAGCGCAACCCCUAUUGUUAGUUGCCAUCAUUCAGUUGGGCACUCUAGCGAGACUGCCGGUAAUAAACCGGAGGAAGGUGGGGAUGACGUCAAAUCAUCAUGCCCCUUAUGACCUGGGCUACACACGUGCUACAAUGGUUGGUACAACGAGUUGCGAGUCGGUGACGGCAAGCUAAUCUCUUAAAGCCAAUCUCAGUUCGGAUUGUAGGCUGCAACUCGCCUACAUGAAGUCGGAAUCGCUAGUAAUCGCGGAUCAGCACGCCGCGGUGAAUACGUUCCCGGGCCUUGUACACACCGCCCGUCACACCACGAGAGUUUGUAACACCCGAAGUCGGUGAGGUAACCUUUUGGAGCCAGCCGCCUAAGGUGGGAUAGAUGAUUGGGGUGAAGUCGUAACAAGGUAGCCGUAUCGGAAGGUGCGGCUG
rnacentral:rRNA from 1 species